rnacentral:rRNA from 1 species
AAUGAACGCUGGCGGCGUGCUUAAGGCAUGCAAGUCGAACGAGAAAGUUCUCUUUGGAGAGCGAGUACAGUGGCGCACGGGUGAGUAAUACUUAGGUAACUUACCCUCUCGCUGGGGACAACUGGGGGAAACUCCAGCUAAUACCGAAUACCUCGGCCCUUUCUGCGGAAGGGGUCGAGAAAGCCUUCGGGCGCGAGAGGAGAGGCCUGAGCCCCAUUAGCUAGUUGGUAGGGUAACGGCCUACCAAGGCUACGAUGGGUAGCUGGUCUGAGAGGAUGACCAGCCACACUGGAACUGACACACGGUCCAGACUCCUACGGGAGGCAGCAGCUGGGAAUUUUGCGCAAUGGACGAAAGUCUGACGCAGCAACGCCGCGUGGGUGAUGAAGGCCUUCGGGUUGUAAAACCCUUUUAGCGGGGACGAAAAAAAUGACGGUACCCGCAGAAAAAGCACCGGCUAACUCCGUGCCAGCAGCCGCGGUAAUACGGAGGGUGCGAGCGUUAUUCGGAUUUACUGGGCGUAAAGCGCAUGUAGGCGGUUCGGAAAGUCUGAUGUGAAAGCCCCCGGCUCAAUCGGGGAAGUGCAUCGGAAACUACCGGGCUGGAGUGCAGGAGGGGAGAGCGGAAUUCCUGGUGUAGAGGUGAAAUUCGUAGAUAUCAGGAGGAACAACAGCGGCGAAGGCGGCUCUCUGGACUGUAACUGACGCUGAUGUGCGAAAGCGUGGGGAGCAAACAGGAUUAGAUACCCUGGUAGUCCACGCCUUAAACGAUGGGUACUAGAUGUCGGGGGCUCUUGCCCCUCCGGUGUCGCAGCUAACGCGUUAAGUACCCCGCCUGGGGACUACGGCCGCAAGGCUAA